UCCCACCUCACACGGAAACGGGACCUGCCCCUCCUGUCUGGACCACAGGUGCAGCAUCUGGGGAUGGUGGGGUGGGCUGGCUUCUAGCCCUGGGCUGCCCACCCGUGGACUGGGACAAUGAGAGAAUCCUGAACUCUUCUUAUUUCAGUCUCUGUUUUUCUGUGUUCUAUCGUGCUCACCUGCAGCUAAGAUCACUAAAGAGCUGGCCAACACGCUCCCGAGGACAGCUUCGGCUGGUGAAUCGGAGCUGAGUUCUGAUCCCUUUUCCUGCCCUGCAGCCUCUAGAACAAUCACGAUGCUUCAUUUACAGAGCGGCAGGCUGCAGGCAGCCCAGAUGGCGGCCUGUGCUGAGAACCGUACGCAUUAAUCAUGGAGCGUUCUAUCUUCCUUUGCUCACUUACACGACAGGGAAGUUUGUCUGUUUGUUUUCUGGCAAAUUCAGUGGAAUAUCAGAGAUGAACUGGGACUUCAAUGAGGAUUUCUUAAAUGCAGACCAAGUUUAAAAAGAAAAUACAACAAAUGAGAGUGUUUUUGAGUUUCUAUUCACCAUCUCAUUAAGAGUCCUUUUGUAAGGGGCCACUUUGAAGAAAGAAUGUGUACAUACUGAGGUCAUACCGUGAUGCAACCAGGGAACUAAGACAGUUCUAGUUGAAUGGAGUUCUAUUUUUGUAAAGAUAUGAAAUGAUCAAAAAGAGGAACCCUACAGAGUAUACUGGAAUAAAGCUUAUAAAUGCAUCAUAAGCCAAGGAAAUUCAUUUAAAUGGCUAAAUUUGGUGUACUUUAUGCAAAAGUAAAAAGCUACUUAAAAAUGUAAAAUUCCCAUUUUUUUUUAAUAUUGUGGAGUCCAAAAUGAUGAGGGGCCAGGCACUGGUAAGUGACGUGAUCUGAUUUAUUCCUGCCCCUGUCCAUCCUUAUGUUACCUGGAUCCACAGCUGUGUGUCAGCACCUGCCACGUUGUAGCUAAACCUGCCUCAGUGUUGGGCAGAAUCAUCAAGAGUCAAUGUUCUUGUCUUAUUCCUGGUCUCAGAGGAAAUGCCUUCAGACUCACAGGUGUUGUCUCAGCCGUGGGCCUUUUGUAGAUUGCCUUUUCUUGGUUGUGGAAGUUCUCUUCUAUUCUUAGCUAUGUGUUUUUGUCAUGAAAAUGUGUUGAAUUUUGUUCAGUGCUUCUUCUCUGCCUAUGGAAAUGACUCCCUUGUUUUCUUUUAAUCUACAAAAAUGAUACAUUGCAUUGAUGUUUGAAUGUUGAACCAUCCUUGUAUUCUUGAGAUAAACCCUACUUGCUCCUGGUUGUAUGAUCCUCUUUAUGUGUUCCUGGAUUUGGUUUGCUGA
rnacentral:lncRNA from 1 species